rnacentral:sRNA from 1 species
GGACAAGUGGGUCAUUUGACUGCAAUAUCUGUCACCCCAGUAUUCACCGGGGUAGAUUGAAGCCAUCUGGCUUGCUAGACAGGUGUCUCUUUUCUCCCUUGUAGCUCCAUGUUUGUCCCUCUCAACACUGAAAGUGCGUUAAAGGAGUCCACAAUUACCCAGAUAAAGAACUAACAGGAAUUUUUAGGGAAGCACUCACACAAUGAUGGUGAAUAACCACGUGGUCUUCCUGCUCCUGGAGAUGCAGCCUCUGCCCUUCAGGAUGCAUCCACCA